AAUUGUCAGAGUAUCUUGAUUUAAUUAACGUUCUGGCUUUUGAUUACCACGGAGGUUGGGAAGGUAAAACUGGUCAUCACUCACCUUUGUUUGAUAAAUCAGCUGAUCAAGGGAUCGAUUCAAUUUCCAAUGUUAAUUACACAAUUAACUAUUGGAUUGAAAGAGGAGCUUCACCAAGUAAAUUGGUUCUCGGCUUGGCAACGUUUGGACGGAGCUUUACAAUUAAGGAAUCGACCGUUGAUUGUGCGAUUGGUGCUAAAGUAAUUAAACCCUCG
rnacentral:misc_RNA from 1 species